rnacentral:rRNA from 1 species
UACAGAGGUCUCAAGCGUUGUUCGGAUUCAUUGGGAGUAAAGGGUGCGUAGGUGGCGCCGCAAGUCAGGUGUGAAAUUUCGGAGCUUAACUCCGAAACUGCAUUUGAUACUGCGGUGCUUGAGGACUGGAGAGGAGACUGGAAUUUACGGUGUAGCAGUGAAAUGCGUAGAGAUCGUAAGGAAGACCAGUGGCGAAGGCGGGUCUCUGGACAGUUCCUGACACUGAGGCACGAAGGCCAGGGGAGCAAACGGG